rnacentral:rRNA from 1 species
CGUGUAGGCGGCUGUGUAAGUCUGAUGUGAAAGCCCGGGCUCAACCCUGGAAGUGCAUUGGAUACUGCACGGCUUGAGUACUGGAGAGGAUGGGGGAAUUCCCGGUGUAGAGGUGAAAUUCGUAGAGAUCGGGAGGAAUACCAGUGGCGAAGGCGCCCAUCUGGACGGAUACUGACGCUGAGACGCGAAAGCGUGGGGAGCAAACA